rnacentral:rRNA from 1 species
CCUACGGGAGGCAGCAGUGAGGAAUAUUGGUCAAUGGCCGUAAGGCUGAACCAGCCAAGUCGCGUGAAGGAAGAAGGAUCUAUGGUUUGUAAACUUCUUUUAUAGGGGAAUAAAGGUAUCCACGUGUGGAUAUUUGCAUGUACCCUAUGAAUAAGCAUCGGCUAACUCCGUGCCAGCAGCCGCGGUAAUACGGAGGAUGCGAGCGUUAUCCGGAUUUAUUGGGUUUAAAGGGUGCGUAGGUUGUUUUGUAAGUCAGCGGUGAAAGUUUGUGGCUCAACCAUAAAAUUGCCGUUGAUACUGGAAGACUUGAGUGUGUUUGAGGUAGGCGGAAUGCGUGGUGUAGCGGGGAAAUGCAUAGAGAUCACGCAGAACUCCGAUUGCGAAGGCAGCUUACUAAGCCAUAACUGACACUGAAGCACGAAAGCGUGGGGAGCAAACAGGAUUAGAUACCCUUGUAGUC